CACAUUAGCAUCAUCACCCCAUAGCUUUGUGUCACGGUGAACUAAAAGUGCCGGCAAGAAAAAUUGCACUCCAGCAGGCAAUGUUAGGUCUCCAACUUUUACAUAUUUUUGAACUUCUCGAGGAAGUGCAACUAUUGGCGGGUAUAACAACCAAGUUGUUGUUUCUGCUGGAGUAUUUCGUGUUUCUACCGGCUUUAGUUUUUGGGUUUGUUUUGGCGGGGUGCAGAGCACACUUGUUCAUUUAUGUACAGAGUGAUCUGCCAUUUUGGUGUACAGAAAAACAAAACUACUUGCUGAUGCAAUUUUUUGUAGCAAAGAAAUGAAAUGAGAAUUAGAAUUGAAAAUUGAGGAAAAAUUAGGAGAUGGGGAGUUAAGUGACAUUGAGAAACUAGCCAAGCAAUUCUCUAACAAGUGGCGGCAACUUGACAUCUUCAAGCGUUGAUUACAAAUACCGACUCUUCCUCCAUGGUAUUAGAGUCUCAUCAAGCAAACAAAGUUGACGCGUCUGAAACUGCCAAGGCUGUGAUAUCUUGCUUCAAUAAGUUGGGGGGUCUCUUUCGAUAUGGAUCAGAUACAAUUAAUCAGGGACCCUAAGCAUCAAGUUGAAAUGGUGGGAGUUCCAGAGUAGUAUUUAUCGGGUCAUGCCUUUCAUAUGUAUCAUUUGACAUCACCUAUGGUGGGAGUUCCAGAUGCUGUACUAUUUCUUGCUAAAAAGAUUGAAGCAAAGGAUUCCAAGAGAAUCUACAAUAUGAUUGAUGUUUUGCGAGAGGGUAAUAUGCGAUAAAAAGUUCUAUGGAGUAUGAUGCAAGAUGUGGAAAUUUGGGAUUCUAAUAAAGCAAUUUUCAUCUUGUGUCCAAUUUUCGUAUCAAUUUAUUUGAGGAAAGCUUAGUUUGUACUAUUGUGGCUUAUCUAUAACAUGAUUUGAGUAAGAACAAUAUAAUAUAAAGACGUACGGUUACUAAUUUCUUUUAUUUUAA